rnacentral:rRNA from 1 species
UGAGGAAUAUUGGGCAAUGCCCGCAAGGGUGACCCAGCAACGCCGCGUGGAGGAUGAAUGUCGUAAGAUUGUAAACUCCUGUUAGAGGGGAAGAAUAGUACCGGUUGGACCGGUAUAUGACUGUACCCUCAGAGAAAGCCCCGGCUAACUACGUGCCAGCAGCCGCGGUAAUACGUAGGGGGCAAGCGUUGUCCGGAUUUACUGGGUGUAAAGGGCGCGCAGGCGGGAUAAAAAGUCAGUGGUGAAAUCCUACAGCUUAACUGUAGAACUGCCUUUGAUACUUUUAUUCUUGAGUUCGGGAGAGAGUGACGGAAUUCCUGGUGUAGUGGUGAAAUACGUAGAUAUCUGGAAGAACACCAGUUGCGAAGGCGGUCUCUUGGUCCGACACUGACGCUGAGGCGCGAAAGCGUGGGGAGCAAACA